CAGCUCCUGCAGUCGUCGAAGAUGCAUUUUCGGCUGAUGUUCCACCAACAUCGGAGAAAAAUCUUCCUUAAUCAUCUCCAAAUGAACCAAUCUCAGCGAAGGUAAAUCCUCAGCCUAUUUUGAUUGACUCCUAUUCUUCUAAUGCUUCAAACGAAUCACCUCCACUUUCUCCUUCGGUAAAACAGAUGCCUUCGGGAAGAAGUUCUCACAUCCGUUUCACUUCGUCCUUGGGGAAGAAAAUGUCUGAUAUUGAAAGACAGGCUCGUCAAGAAGCUCGUCUUGACAAGAAGCGAGAAUGAAAUGAAAGCAUGCAGAAGUUGAGAAAGAUGUGGAGAAGGCAAGAAAGAAGAAAGAGAUGGACACUACAAUAAAAACGGUUUUUAGCGACACUAUUAAAUGUCGGUACAGGUCAAAAAAAGUGUUGCUAGAUAAAUUACCGACACUUUUAAAAAGUAUUGCUAAAUGUGGGGUCGCUAGGUAUAUGUGACAGUUAAAGAGUGUCGCUAUAACCUAAAAAGAGUGAUGCUAAUUCACCAAUAUUUAUUUAAGCAUUUAGCAGCUGCCGGAACUCUACCUCGUUGGCUACGGUGGCGAAGGAGGACGAGAGGAAGGGAUCUUCGUCUAGAAUUUCAGUCGAUUGAGCGAGGGGAGAAGGAAAAAUGGUAAUUGCUUUUUUCUUUUCUUUUUCUUUUCUGUUUGUAAUCAGACCGAAUGGACUGGGUAGGGUGGGUUGAAUAGAUUAACCUUUUAUUUUUUGGUUGGAUUGAACUUUAUAUUUAGGCAUUAGUAGAUUUUUUUUUAAAGUUUUUGGCAUAAAUGGGACACUUACACAAAAGUAUCCCAAACAUGUGUCCCUAUAACCUAAUUCUGUUGUAGUGGGAAAAGAUGUCAACUCCGAAGGAAAUAGAAGAAGAGAGAGGUGAGGGAGAAAGAAGUGGAAAAGAAGAAGAACUAAAGAGAAGAGAAAAAGUGGAACAAGGAAAGAGAAAGAGAGUGAAGAGAAACAGAGAGAAAGGGAUGGUAACGAAAAAGAAAUAGGUACAAUUCCUUCUUCCGA
rnacentral:lncRNA from 1 species